AGUCUUGUAUGGUUCCUGCGGGGGUGUAGACUAGGUGGGAGAGCAAUCGAUUCUGAAAAACCACUACCCUGUUUGGGAAUUAUGCUUACCUUUCCACAAGGAAAUAGGACUAGAUAGAAAGUUUGGCUGGGGCGGCACACCUUCGAAAGAGCAGCGAAGGUGUCCUAAGUUGAGCUCAGUGAGGACAGAAAUCUCACGUUGAGGAUAAGGCCAAAAGCUCAAUUUACUGUGCCUUUUUGUACUAGGAUCAGUUACGAAAGUAAGGCCUAACGAUCCCUAAAUAGCCUCAGGUGCGUGAGGAUUGGGGUGACAGACAAGUUACCUCCGGGACAACUGGCUUGUGGCUGCUAAGAGAUCAAAUCAACGCAGCUUUUUGAUUCUUCGAUGUCGGCUCUUCCUAUCCUAGUGAUGUACAAGUUGCUAAGGGUCGGAUUGUUCACCCGUAUUAGGGAUCGUGAGCUGGGUUUAGACCGUCGUGAGCCAGGUUUGUUUUAUCCUACUGGAUAUAGCAUCAUGAUAGUAGAUUGAUUUAGUACGAGAGGAACUGUUGAUUAUGGCCUCUGGUUAGCGAUUAUCGGAAACGGUAUGUCGCGCAGCUACGCCGUCUGGGAUAAUGGCUGAAAGCCUCUUAAGCCAGAAGCCCAUCUAGAAAGUGAUGCACGUGAUGUUGGACCGAUACGAAUAAUCAUACUCAAAAGGUCCGCUUCAUAGGUAACCCAAUGUAGAAGACAUUGUGUGAACGAAGGUACUGUAAGCAGUGGAGUGGCAUUACGUCCACGACCUGUUGAGGUUCAGCUUCGCUUCUAGGUUUCC
rnacentral:ncRNA from 1 species